rnacentral:rRNA from 1 species
GUAGUGAAUGGCUCGGUUCGAGAAGCCGACGAAGGACGUGGCAAGCUGCGAUAAGCUUGGGCGAGGUGCAUGCAGCCUUUGAGCUCAAGAUUUCCGAAUGCGACUUCGUGAUCUGUUUCGACAGAUUAAUGCGAGAGCAUGGGCAUACGCGGUGAACUGAAACAUCUAAGUAGCCGCAGGACUAGAAAUCAAUUGAGAUUCCCUUAGUAGAGGCGAUCGGAAGGGGAAUUAUGCACAAACUGAACGAAGUUCCGAGAGGAUCUUUGGAUGUGGGUUUUGGCCGUCUUUGGAACCGAUUCUCCUAGGUAAAGUCUGCUGGAAAGCAGCACCAUAGAGAGUGAUAGUCUCGUAGUUAAUGGAGAAAACGUUCUUAGACGUGCCGAGAGUAGCAUGGGUUGGAAAUCCUGUGUGAACAUGGGAGGCACUACGUCUUCCAAUGCUGAAUACUUCUCGAGUCCGAUAGCGCACUAAGUACUGUGAAGGAAAGCUGAAAAGCACCCCUAGAAAGGGGUUGAAAAGAGCCUAAAACUAUCUGGUGGUAGGUUAGAUACGGCGUCAAAGCGUCGAAGCUCUUUAACAAACUUGGCGAGAGCCUCUAGUAGGACGGAGUGGAGCGGUGUCGUAUCAUCCGUUUUGAAAAACGGGGCAGGGAGUUUGUUGCCGUGGCGAGGCUAACCACCUUUCGGUGGAGAGUCACAGGGAAACCAAGAAGUCCGCAAUGCUUUGCAUGAGGGACCGCGUUUUAAUUAGCGUGAAGUCACCGCGACAUGAUCCGAAACCGGUCGAUCCUGGUCUGGCUAGGUUGAAGCGGCGCGAAAGCUCCGUGGAGGACCGGACCGCUGCUGCGAUGCAAGCGCUCGGAUAAGCUGGAUCAAGGGGUGAAAUGUCAAUCGAGAUCGGUGAUGGCUGGUUCCUCUCGAAAUGGACCGAAGUCCAGCCGUGGCCGAGGUUGUUGUACAGGUAAAGCAACCGAUUCUGGAAUACCGCCUCUUUGAGGCGGGCCCGGAGUCGAACUCAGAACUGUGCAACGCUGUAGACGCCACGAGUCAGGGGUUGCGGGUAAGCUGCAACUCCAAGAGGGAAAGAACCCACACCGGGGUUAAGGUCCCCAAGUACUGGCUAAGUGU